rnacentral:rRNA from 1 species
UGCAAGUCGAACGAAGUAGCAAUACUUAGUGGCAGACGGGUGAGUAACAUGUGGGUAUCUACCCUUUGGCCUGGAAUAACACGAGGAAACUUGUGCUAAUACCGGAUAAGUCUUUACGGAGAAAGCUUUAUGCACCAUUGGAUGAGCCCGCACUUGAUUAGUUUGUUGGUAGGGUAAUGGCCUACCAAGACUAUGAUCAAUAGCUGAUUUGAGAGGAUGAUCAGCCACAUUGGGACUGAGACACGGCCCAAACUCCUACGGGAGGCAGCAGUGGGGAAUCUUGCACAAUGGAGGAAACUCUGAUGCAGCGAUGCCGCGUGAGUGAAGAAGGCCUUUGGGUUGUAAAGCUCUUUCGUCGGGGAAGAAAAUGACUGCACCCGAAUAAGAAGGUCCGGCUAACUUCGUGCCAGCAGCCGCGGUAAUACGAAGGGACCUAGCGUAGUUCGGAAUUACUGGGCUUAAAGAGUUCGUAGGUGGUUGAAAAAGUUGGUGGUGAAAUCCCAGAGCUUAACUCUGGAACUGCCAUCAAAACUUUUCAGCUAGAGUAUGAUAGAGGAAAGCAGAAUUUCUAGUGUAGAGGUGAAAUUCGUAGAUAUUA